UAAAACUUAUUUGAAGUACAUAUCAUUUUGUCAAUGUUUUAAAAUUCGACUUACCAUUCAACAUUUCAAUUUAUUUGAUUCGAAUUAGUCAACGACAAUAUGCUUAGUUAGAAUAUUUCAUACAGUUCUUAUAAUUAUGAAUUCAUUAAAAUAAGCAAUUCGCUCAUAUUUUGCAACCAAAGUAUCAUUGGCUGAUCGAAUAAAAUAAAUUGAAAAAAUAAAUUAUAUAAUUAAAAUUUUGAAAUAUUAUAGUCAACUGAAAAUGAUCCAUAAUUCAAUUAAAUUUUAUAUGUUUUUACCUUGAAAUU
rnacentral:lncRNA from 1 species